UUGGAGGGCAAGUCUGGUGCCAGCAGCCGCGGUAAUUCCAGCUCCAAUAGCGUAUAUUAAAGUUGUUGCAGUUAAAAAGCUCGUAGUUGAAUUUCGGGACCAUCAGGUCGGUCGUGCCUCGGUAAGUACUGGCAUUGUUGGUUUCUUCCUUCUGACGAACCAGGAUGUCCUUUAUUUGGUGUUGUGGGGAAUCAGGACUGUUACUUUGAAAAAAUUAGAGUGUUUAAAGCCGGCUCACGCUUGAAUACCUUAGCCUGGAAUAAUGAAAUAGGACGUUUGAUUUUAUUUUGUUGGUUUUUAGGAUUGAAGUAAUGAUUAAUAGGGAUAGUUGGGGGCCUUAGUAUUCAAUCGUCAGAGGUGAAAUUUUUGGAUUUAUUGAAGGCUAAAUACUGCGAAAGCCUUUGCCAAGGAUGUUUUCCUUAAUCAAGAACGAAAGUUAGGGGAUUGAAGGCGAUCCGAUACCGUUGUAGUUUUAACCCUAAAAUAUGCCGAAUAGGGAUUGGAUGAUGUUAAUUUUUUAAUGGCUCCUUUGGCGCCUACGGGAAAC
rnacentral:rRNA from 1 species